rnacentral:lncRNA from 1 species
AGAAAAUCAAGAGGAAUGGGAGCUUCCAUUAGGAAUUACCCCGAACGAGUUGAUAGGCGAAAUCAUGACUAAAUGGUCCAGCCAACCGUUUGGCACGUACGAGGAGCUGAUGUUUGAGCGAGAUAUGAGAUUUAUCGACUGGCUAUCAGAGCUCCCUCCAAACAUGUAUAGAAUGCCUGAAAAUAUAAACGACGAAAUACGGAGAAUAAGGUAUAAAAAGAAAAAUAAUCCCGUUUGUCUAAAACAAAAUAAAAAAUCUAUUUUUAAAGCGAGCUGUGGGAAAAUCCACCAGAUUCAUCGGAUUAUCUAAGGCGCAAUUUUUACUUAAGAGACAUG